rnacentral:rRNA from 1 species
UGGGGAAUCUUCCGCAAUGGGCGAAAGCCUGACGGAGCAACGCCGCGUGAGUGAUGACGGCCUUCGGGUUGUAAAACUCUGUGAUCCGGGACGAAAAGGCAGAGUGCGAAGAACAAACUGCAUUGACCGGACCCGGAAAAAGAAGGCCACGGCUAACUACGUGCCACCAGCCGCGGUAAUACGUAGGUGGCAAGCGGUGUCCGGAAUUAUUGGGCGUAAAGCGCGCGCAGGCGGCUUCCCNANUCCCUCUUAAAGUGGGGGCUUAACCCCGUGAUUNCCCCCCNGUGAUGGGAGGGAAACUGGGAAGCUGGAGUAUCGGAGAGGAAAGUGGAAUUCCUAGUGUAGCGGGUGAANUGCGUAGAGUUUAGGAAAAAACCCCGGGUGGGAAAAGGNANUUUUUUGGGGACGAAAACUGACGCUGAGGCGCGAAAGCGUGGGGAGCAAACAGGAUUAGAUACCCUGGUAGUCCACGCCGUAAACGAUGGAUACUAGGUGUAGGAGGUAUCGACCCCUCCUGUGCCGGAGUUAACGCAAUAAGUAUCCCGCCUGGGAAGUACAAUCGCAAGAU